AAAGAAUUAGUUUAUUUAAAAUAUAAGUUUGUCAAUCUUAAGAAAUUUAAUUAAUAAAUAUUCUUUU
rnacentral:tRNA from 1 species